GACAUGCUAGUUCUUGUCUGCUGGGUUGUCUUUUUCUCUAGAAUAGAGCACGUCCCUUUUGUCAGCUUUGUCACCCAAGUGUAAAUCCUAUAGCAUCUGGGAUGAAUAAAUCAGUGAUGUUUCUAGAUUUCAGCAGGUGUGUCUGAGAGCAAGAGUGCAGGCAGAAACUGACUGAAAUGGAGGAAACCAAAGCAGUGCUUACAGGCAGGCCAUUCUGUGCGUAUUGACUACCACUGAUCCAAGGACCACUGGUGUGGAACCACUGUUUUGUCCGGUAAAUUUACACUUCAUAAGACACUUGAGGGCCAAAAUCUGUGAUGUGCAGUGAUGUAAUGUGGAAGUUCUGCCAGUUUAUUGUGUCACCAAAUAACUGCAUAUUGGCUUGCUAAUGGCAGUAAUCAGCAGGUCAAGUAAUAAUACAAUGGAGAAAAGAUAAACACAAAAAGCGGCAGAGAG
rnacentral:lncRNA from 7 species